AUAACCCGAAUCGAUUCAGGUGCCCUGCGGGGCUUGAUAGGGAAUCCCGUUAAAGUCGGGAGCGGACCCGCCGCCGUAAGUCCACGAUACGCCGCAUCCACACCGUGCCACUGGGAAAAAUUCCCGGGAAGGCCGGAUGCCGCGGGACAAGCCGGAAGACCUGCCUGAGUGUACAGGAUGAC
rnacentral:ncRNA from 2 species